rnacentral:rRNA from 1 species
GAUGAACGCUGGCGGCGUGCCUAAUACAUGCAAGUCGAGCGAACAGAUGAGGAGCUUGCUCCUCUGACGUUAGCGGCGGACGGGUGAGUAACACGUGGAUAACCUACCUAUAAGACUGGGAUAACUUCGGGAAACCGGAGCUAAUACCGGAUAAUAUAUUGAACCGCAUGGUUCAAUAGUGAAAGACGGUUUUGCUGUCACUUAUAGAUGGAUCCGCGCCGCAUUAGCUAGUUGGUAAGGUAACGGCUUACCAAGGCAACGAUGCGUAGCCGACCUGAGAGGGUGAGCGGCCACACUGGAACUGAGACACGGUCCAGACUCCUACGGGAGGCAGCAGUAGGGAAUCUUCCGCAAUGGGCGAAAGCCUGACGGAGCAACGCCGCGUGAGUGAUGAAGGUCUUCGGAUCGUAAAACUCUGUUAUUAGGGAAGAACAAAUGUGUAAGUAACUAUGCACGUCUUGACGGUACCUAAUCAGAAAGCCAUGGCUAACUACGUG